rnacentral:tRNA from 1 species
CGGGGUGUAGCUCAGUCUGGUAGAGCGCUGCGUUUGGGACGCAGAUGCCGGAGGUUCGAAUCCUCUCACCCCGA